rnacentral:rRNA from 1 species
UACGUAGGUGGCGAGCGUUAUCCGGAAUUAUUGGGCGUAAAGAGCGCGCAGGUGGUUGAUUAAGUCUGAUGUGAAAGCCCACGGCUUAACCGUGGAGGGUCAUUGGAAACUGGUCGACUUGAGUGCAGAAGAGGGAAGUGGAAUUCCAUGUGUAGCGGUGAAAUGCGUAGAGAUUGGGAGGAACACCAGUGGCGAAGGCGGCUUUCUUGACGAUAACUGACGCUGAGGCGCGAAAGCGUGGGUAGCAAACAGGAUUAGAUACCCU